UAAGGAAUAUUGGACAAUGGGCGCAAGCCUGAUCCAGCCAUCCCGCGUGGAGGAAGACGGCCCUCAGGGUUGUAAACUCCUUUUGUAUGGGAAGAAAGGUGUUGAUUGAUCAGCAUUUGACGGUACCAUAAGAAUAAGCACCGGCUAACUCCGUGCCAGCAGCCGCGGUAAUACGGAGGGUGCGAGCGUUAUCCGGAAUUACUGGGUUUAAAGGGUGCGUAGGCGGCUUUAUAAGUCAGAGGUGAAAGCUCAGCGCUUAACGUUGGAAUUGCCUUUGAAACUGUAGAGCUUGAAAUGAGUUGAGGCAGGCGGAAUGUGGCAUGUAGCGGUGAAAUGCAUAGAUAUGCCAUAGAACACCGAUUGCGAAGGCAGCUUGCUGGACUUUGUUUGACGCUGAGGCACGAAAGCGUGGGGAGCGAACAGGAUUAGAUACCCCCGUAGUCC
rnacentral:rRNA from 1 species